GUACAAAAAUCAUUCCAAACAAUCAAUUCGUGUUGCCCCAGGUGACUUUAUAAAAUGUAGAUAUCAUCAAAAAGCUCCAAAUUAUCUCCCUUAGGUGCAAAAAUGCCAUUUUUUGCAUUAAAAUUGAAAUAUCUUUUUUAACUCAUUGGUGACCUAUAUUUUUUAUUGUUUUUCGAAUAAGCUGUACAUAAACUAAAUAAUUGUAAAAUUUAAGCAAUGUCUGUAAUUUAGUUCUUUUUCUAUUUCGAUAUUACCGCUAUUUCUCCUAUUAGCUCAACAGAAAAAAAGGACAUUAACAAAAAUGUAUGCUUCUUUCGAAGGCAGAUUGUGAGCGUAAGUGAAUGGUGACCCCAUUUUUUUAUUUCAUUUUUCUAUUAAGUAUAAGAUAAAGUUCAUUUAUAGAAAAAUAUAGCGAAAUCCUAUAUUAAAUAAAAAUUUGAUUUAGACCCGCGAGCCCCCUUAAUAUCAAUAAUUUGAAAAAAAAAAACUUUUAGUGAAUAGAGAUAACAGAGUACUUUUUUCCAUCUUAUGCUACUUCACUGGUUUCCUGAAUCAAUAAAAUCUGGGCACCAUAAUACAGCCAAUAGUGCUGAAUGUGGACACAAACAAUCCAUCAAAGUCUCAAUAAGAUCAGAUUCAAAGUCAAUAGUACUGAAUGUGACACAAAACAACCAUCAAAGUCAAUAGUCUGAAUGUGGACACAAAACAAUCAUCAAAGUCUCAAUAAGAUCAGAUUCAAAGUCAAUAGUACUGAAUGUGGACACAAACAAUCCAUCAAAGUCUCAAUAAGAUCAGAUUCAAAGUCAAUAGUGCUGAAUGUGGACACAAACAAUCCAUCAAAGUCUCAAUAAGAUCAGAUUCAAAGUCAAUAGUACUGAAUGUGGACACAAAAAAUCCAUCAAAGUCUCAAUAAGAUCAGAUUCAAAGUCAAUAGUACUGAAUGUGGACACAAACAAUCCAUCAAAGUCUCAAUAAAUCAAUUCAAAGUCAAUAGUACUGAAUGUGGACACAAACAAUCCAUCAAAGUCUCAAUAAGAUCAGAUUCAAAGUCAAUAGUGCUGAAUGUGGACACAAACAAUCCAUCAAAGUCUCAAUAAGAUCAGAUUCAAAGUCAUAGUACUUGACACAAUCCAUCAAAGUUAAAGAAAACAUGUUUUGGUGGUUUUAGAUCUUUAGAUACCACCAUACUCUGUAAACCAUUAAUGUCCUAAUCCUUAUUGUGACAUUUUUACUGAGUGUGGUUUUG
rnacentral:lncRNA from 1 species